AGGGACGAAGCUGUGCGUGUAUUUUCACUGGGUGGAGUGUGAAUAUUGCUGAGGUAGACAAUGAGAGGGGAUGAAGAGAGGCAGAGGUCGUCCUAGGAGGGGAUCCACCCCAGCACCCUAGGAUCCACCAGCAACGCGGCAGAGGGUGCCUUCCUUUCAUCAGGUGCGCCUCCCCUUAUCCACCUACGCCACCCACUACUCACCAGAGGCCCACUUCCAUCUGUGUAGAGUGGUCAAAAGUCUAGCAGUGAUGAUCCGAGAGAGGGAAUUUCGAGCAGAGGCCUCUUACACCCCACAAUAUAAUGUUAGUCAAGGUGGAGUAGACACGAGUAACAUUUGACUUGUCAAUUAGUAUGAUGAUCUCAAAUUUAAAGAAACUCUUACGUCUAAUCAAAAUAAGAGAACACUCUAUUAAUAGUUUAAGGUAAUAUUAAACAUUAAAAAUUCGCAAUUGGGUCAGUUCAA